AAACUGGCAGUCUUGAGUACAGUAGACGUGGGCGGAAUUCGUGGUGUAGCGGUGAAAUGCUUAGAUAUCACGAAGAACUCCGAUUGCGAAGGCAGCUCACUAGACUGCAACUGACACUGAUGCUCGAAAGUGUGGGUAUCAAACAGGAUUAGAUACCCUGGUAGUCCACACAGUAAACGAUGAAUACUCGCUGUUUGCGAUAUACAGUAAGCGGCCAAGCGAAAGCAUUAAGUAUUCCACCUGGGGAGUACGCCGGCAACGGUGAAACUCAAAGGAAUUGACGGGGGCCCGCACAAGCGGAGGCACAUGUGGUUUAAUUCGAUGAUACGCGAGGAACCUUACCCGGGCUUAAAUUGCAAAUGAAUAAUCUGGAAACAGGUUAGCCGCAAGGCAUUUGUGAAGGUGCUGCAUGGUUGUCGUCAGCUCGUGCCGUGAGGUGUCGGCUUAAGUGCCAUAACGAGCGCAACCCUUAUCUUUAGUUACUAACAGGUUAUGCUGAGGACUCUAGAGAGACUGCCGUCGUAAGAUGUGAGGAAGGUGGGGAUGACGUCAAAUCAGCACGGCCCUUACGUCCGGGGCUACACACGUGUUACAAUGGGGGGUACAGAAGGCAGCUACCUGGCGACAGGAUGCUAAUCCCAAAAACCUCUCUCAGUUCGGAUCGAAGUCUGCAACCCGACUUCGUGAAGCUGGAUUCGCUAGUAAUCGCGCAUCAGCCAUGGCGCGGUGAAUACGUUCCCGGGCCUUGUACACGGCCGCCCGUCAAGCCAUGAAAGCCGGGG
rnacentral:rRNA from 1 species